rnacentral:rRNA from 1 species
UACGUAGGGCGCAAGCGUUAUCCGGAAUUAUUGGGCGUAAAGAGCUCGUAGGCGGUUUGUCGCGUCUGCUGUGAAAGACCGGGGCUCAACUCCGGUUCUGCAGUGGGUACGGGCAGACUAGAGUGCAGUAGGGGAGACUGGAAUUCCUGGUGUAGCGGUGAAAUGCGCAGAUAUCAGGAGGAACACCGAUGGCGAAGGCAGGUCUCUGGGCCACUACUGACGCUGAGAAGCGAAAGCAUGGGGGAGCGAACAGG